rnacentral:lncRNA from 1 species
UCGGAAGCUUUGCCUGGGAUAGACAAGGAGGAGGGGUACCGCGGGACCCAAAACCAACAGGGGAAGGGGUGGGUUGGCGAUGGCAGCAGAGGAGCGGUAGCGACAAAGGCAGUGGUGGUCAUUCUCGAUCUCCAGUUGGGCACGACGGUGGUGGAGGGGCUCCGACGGCUCCAGAUCCGCUCAUUCUCUAUUCGGGAGUGGGGAGGGGGCUGGGUUGGUGGCGGCAAUGGAGGAGGAGCAAUAGUGACAGAGGUGGCGGUGGUCAUCCUCGAUCUCCAGCUGGGCACAGUGGUGGCCGAGAAGGGGCUCUGGUGGCUCCAGAUCCACUCAUUCUCCAUUUGGAAGUGCGGUGGAGGAGGGGUUCCGAUGGCUCUAGAUAUGCUUAUUCUCCAUUCGAGAGUGGGGAGGGGGCCUGGGUUGGCGGCCGAGGAGCGGUAGUGACAAAGGUGGCGGUGGUCGUCCUCGAUUUCCAGUUGGGCAUGAUGGCGGCAGUGGAGGGGCUCCGACGGCUCUAGAUCCGCUCAUUCUCCAUUCGGGAGUACUUGGAGAGUAGAAGGGGACUUUGCCUGAGAUAGAUGGGGAGGAUGGGGUACCGCAGGACCCAAAAUCGGUGGAGGAGAGUGGAUCGACGACGGUGGAGGAGGAGGGGUUGGUGGUAGCUACAUCUAUAACAAUCUUGAGGGUAGAUCGGUAGCGAUGGAGGCGACGGUGGUCAUCCUCGAUCUCCUACUGGGCGCGAUGGUGGCAGAUGAGGGGCUUCUGCAUUGCAAAGAUCAGCUUGCGAUCUGCUCCUUUGCUCAGGAGUACAAAGGGGGAGGAGGGGGCUUUGCCUAGGAUUGAUGGGAAAGAAGGGUACCAUGCGAAGACUGACCGCUCGACUCCUUCUGCUUUUCCAAAACACCACGCGGCUCCUCUAGCCUUUUCCAAUAGACCACGUGUCAAACAGAAACGCACCA